CUCUUCCUUCACGAGAUAGAUCUCCUCGUCGAUCGUCUUUCAUCAUUACGGUAAGCCUUCUUCACUCACAGAAUCAUCUCCAUUUCCUCUAUCCUUCAUUUUCCACCGAAUCAUUCAUAGAUAUAAACCCUCCGUUGGGGUUUCUUCUCCUUUUCACCAUUUCCCUUCGAUUCCACCGAUUAAAACCUUGUUUUCACCAUGAGAAACCUUUUCCACCGAUUCAACUUUGAUUUACACCGAUCAAUCGGUCCAGAAUAGGUUUCCUUCUUCUUCUAGGGUUUCUAUCAAGUUUAAUCCUCUGUUUCUAGUUCUUCUUCGAGUUUUUGUCAUAUUUGGAAGAAGCUUCGAGGAUUCGCGUCGCGCCUACAGUCAUCUUCUCAGAGCCACUCUUCCAUCAAUAGUUAUAGUUCACAUUCUUCUCUGGUUAUAUUCGGUUGCUGAAAUUGGAGGAGUCUAGAAGAAAUGUGCUGGUAAGUAUGCAGUAGGAGGGCUUUAAUGCUGCAAAGUUUUCUGGAGAGCAGACCACUAGGAGGUAUUUGAAUAUGGAUAUUCUGGACUGCAGUAUGUUAUUUUGAUUUUGGUUCUGAUGAAGUUUGACAUAGAUAUUUUUCUGGAAAUCUAUUAUAUCAACAGUGGACAAUUUUUUUCUUCAACAUGAGCAUAUUUUGUUACAUAAAGAGGAGGGGGUUAUAUUUGAUUCUAAAUUUAUGCAAGCAUCAUUAAACCUUAGAUAAUGGUAAUCAUAUCUCUUUGUCCAGAGUACAUAUCACUGAACAUUUACUUAUAUAUUUCUUUCCCUUUGCAGGUUAAAUCGCAUGUGGAGGUACCACCAUUGGUAUGUGAGGAUUGUUACAAAAGUGUCAUAGCAUAAUUUAUGAAGCAAGCAAAGGUGAUAUUGGGUUACUUAUGCUCUAUACAACAAUUCAACAAAAUGUUACCUGGCUCAAAUAUGCUGCAAAUAUUGUUCGCAAAUAUAGUGCAAUUUAUUUGUAUGCCAAAGGAGAUUUUCCUUUUCUAACUUCUGGGUUCUAAAUUUGAAACUAUUACUAUGAUCUCUCUGGUCUGUGUUGUUUCUCAUAGAAAAUUUAUUGUUACUAAACUUCACAAUCUUACGGCCUGGGUUCUAUCUUAUCAUAUAAUAAUUUGUUGCAUCAUCAUAUAUCAUAAAUAGUUUGCUUGAGAUUGUCACGGAUCCAGGUUUCAGAGGAUGGUAUGUUGUCUUGUAAGCUAAUUUAGCAUGGCUUUAAAUACAGGCCCCUGGAUUUCAUCCGGGAAAGAAAGUUCCAGAAGACAUUCUUAUUGGUUAUGUUGGGAGACAAAAUGUCCAGAAGGCUACUAUUGAAUCUAUUGGAUUUCGAAGGACACUUUCACAUGCUAUGACAUUGGUUACUGGGAGGGCUUUGUAGGACUCAGUACACAUAGUUAUUAAGUUUUUUGAGAUGGAGGAGACAUAUUCUUCUCUUGGGACUCUUAGGUUUGUGAUAUUGNUGUUCUUGACAUCUCAGCAACAACCAUUGAUCAAGAUGAAUCAAAUGUUAAAAAUAUUCCUUCAAGUAAAGGCUUUAAUUUUGAUACCGGGGAUGGAGACAAGGUAUUACCAGGUUUCCUUGAUUCAAUAAUUGGAAUUCAUCGAGGUGAAUCAAAGUCUUUUCCUCUUGUAUUUCCUGAAACUUAGAAGCAAGAAAAUCUUCGAGGUGUUCAUGCUCAGUUUAAUGUAAGUUUCUAGUGCUGAAUAAAAAAGUUUAAGUUUUAGGAACAUGAACUGCCAUUGUUGUUUUUCCUUUUGG